GACGAACGCUGGCGGCGUGCUUAACACAUGCAAGUCGAACGGAAAGGCCCCUUUGGGGGUACUCGAGUGGCGAACGGGUGAGUAACACGUGAGUAACCUGCCCUUGACUUCGGGAUAACUUCAGGAAACUGGGGCUAAUACCGGAUAGGAAUCCUUGCUUCAUGGUGGGGGUUGGAAAGCUUCGGCGGUUUUGGAUGGACUCGCGGCUUAUCAGCUUGUUGGUGGGGUAGUGGAUUACCAAGGCUUUGACGGGUAGCCGGACUGAGAGGGCGACCGGCCACAUUGGGACUGAGAUACGGCCCAGACUCCUACGGGAGGCAGCAGUGGGGAAUAUUGAACAAUGGGCGGAAGCCUGAUGCAGCAACGCCGCGUGCGGGAUGACGGCCUUCGGGUUGUAAACCGCUUUCAGCAGGGGCGAAGCUUGUGGUGACGGUACCUGCAGAAGAAGCACCGGCUAACUACGUG
rnacentral:rRNA from 1 species